rnacentral:rRNA from 1 species
AACCGUGGAGGGUCAUUGGAAACUGGGGAACUUGAGUGCAGAAGAGGAAAGUGGAAUUCCACGUGUAGCGGUGAAAUGCGUAGAGAUGUGGAGGAACACCAGUGGCGAAGGCGACUUUCUGGUCUGUAACUGACACUGAGGCGCGAAAGCGUGGGGAGCGAACAGGAUUAGAUACCCUGGUAGUCCACGCCGUAAACGAUGAGUGCUAAGUGUUAGAGGGUUUCCGCCCUUUAGUGCUGCAGCUAACGCAUUAAGCACUCCGCCUGGGGAGUACGGCCGCAAGGCUGAAACUCAAAGGAAUUGACGGGGGCCCGCACAAGCGGUGGAGCAUGUGGUUUAAUUCGAAGCAACGCGAAGAACCUUACCAGGUCUUGACAUCCUCUGACAACCCUAGAGAUAGGGCCUUCCCCUUUUGGGGGACAGAGUGACAGGUGGUGCAUGGUUGUCGUCAGCUCGUGUCGUGAGAUGUUGGGUUAAGUCCCGCAACGAGCGCAACCCUUGAUCUUAGUUGCCAGCAUUCAGUUGGGCACUCUAAGGUGACUGCCGGUGACAAACCGGAGGAAGGUGGGGAUGACGUCAAAUCAUCAUGCCCCUUAUGACCUGGGCUACACACGUGCUACAAUGGAUGGUACAAAGAGCCCGCAAACCCGCGAGGGUAAGCUAAUCUCAUAAAGCCAUUCUCAGUUCGGAUUGCAGGCUGCAACUCGCCUGCAUGAAGCCGGAAUCGCUAGUAAUCGCGGAUCAGCAUGCCGCGGUGAAUACGUUCC